rnacentral:rRNA from 1 species
GGAAUUGACGGGACCCCGCACAAGCAGCGGAGCGUGUGGUUUAAUUCGAGGCUACACGAAAACCUUACUACCCUUGACAUGUCCAGGAGCCUUGAGAGAUUGAGGUGUGCCCGAAAGGGAACUGGAACACAGGUGCUGCAUGGCUGUCGUCAGCUCGUGUCGCGAGAUGUUGGGUUAAGUCCCGCAACGAGCGCAACCCUUGUCGUUAAUUGCCAUCAUUUAGUUGGGCACUUUAACGAGACUGCCGGUGACAAACCGGAGGAAGGUGGGGAUGACGUCAAGUCCUCAUGGCCCUUAUGGGUAGGGCUUCACACGUCAUACAAUGGUCGGUACAAAGGGUUGCCAAGCCGCGAGGUGGAGCCAAUCCCAGAAAGCCGAUCGUAGUCCGGAUUGCAGGCUGCAACUCGCCUGCAUGAAGUCGGAAUCGCUAGUAAUCGUGGAUCAGCAUGUCACGGUGAAUACGUUCCCGGGUCUU